AUGAAUUGUGCUGUAUGGUCCUCAAGCAUGCAUACUUUAUUUCCAAAUUUUGAAUUGUUCAAAUCCAAACUCCGGACACUUAUGUCUGUGCCUCUAUAUUUGUGUUGUUUAUUCAACAUCCUCUUCUCUUUAAAAGGGUGCCCCUUCUUCAUGGAACCACACAAUCAUACACGCGUCUCACAAUUCUUCCUCCUGAGGCUCUCAGAUGAUCCAGACCUGCAGCCCCUCCUCUUUGGACUCUUCCUGUCCACGUACCUGGUCACUGUGCUCAGGAACCUGCUCCUCGUCCUGGCUGUCAGCUCCGAUUCUCACCCCCACACCCCCAUGUACUUCUUCCUCUCCAAUCUGUCCUUGGCUGACAUUGGUAUAAGCACCACCACUGUCCCCAACAUGCUAGUGAACCUCCACACACAGAGCAAAUCCAUCCCUUAUGCAGGAUGCCUAGCUCAAGUGACUGUCUUUCCUCUUUUUGCAUGCUUGGAGAGUCUCCUUCUGACAGUGAUGGCUUAUGAUCGAUUGGUGGCCAUUUGUCACCCUCUGCAUUACCUGGUCAUCAUGAAUCCCCACCUCUGUGGCUUGUUGGUCCUGGUGUCAUUUUCCAUCAGCCUUUUGAAUUCUCAACUUCACUACUUGAUGAUGUCACAGCUUACCUUCUGUGCAGAUGUGGAAAUCCCUCAUUUCUUUUGUGAGCUUUCUCAACUUCUCAACCUUGCCUGUUCAGACAUCUCCACUAGUAACAUAUUAAUCUAUUUCAUUGGUACCAUCUUGGCUGGAGUUCCACUCUCGGGGAUCCUUUACUCUUAUAUUCGAAUUAUAUCCUCCAUUCUCCGAGUCUCCUCAUCAGAUGGGAAGUACAAAGCCUUCUCUACCUGUGGUUCUCAUCUGUCAGUUGUUUGCUUAUUUUAUGGAGCAGCCCUUGGGGUAUAUCUCAGCUCCUCUGUCUCAUCGUCCCACAGGAAGAGUGCAGUGGUCUCGGUGAUGUACACUGUGGUCACCCCUAUGCUGAACCCCUUCAUCUACAGUCUAAGGAACAAGGACAUCAAGAGUGCCCUGUGGGGGAUUAUCAUCAGAAUAGUCUAA
rnacentral:lncRNA from 1 species